rnacentral:rRNA from 1 species
UUCCUACGGGGCGCAGCAGUCGAGAAUAUUGCACAAUGGGGGAAACCCUGAUGCAGCGACGCCGCGUGGGCGAGGAAGUACCUCGGUAUGUAAAGCCCUAUCAGCAGGGAAGAAACAGGACAGUACCUGACUAAGAAGCCCCGGCUAACUACGUGCCAGCAGCCGCGGUAAUACGUAGGGGGCAAGCGUUAUCCGGAUUCACUGGGCGUAACGGGAGCGCAGGCGGCAUGGCAAGUCUGAUGUGAACACCCCGGGCCCAACCCCGGGAGCG